UUUUGAGUAGUAUAUAUUUUGGACAGGAAACUUAAAGAAUUUGGCGGUGUAUAUUCUGAUUAGAGGAAUAUGUUUUUUAAUUGAUAAUUCACAAAUAUCUUACUUAAUUUAUUUAUUUAUUUUGUAUAUCUCCGUCUUAAAAAGAUAUUUUAAAGUAUUUUUUAUAUUUCAUAUUAUGAUAUAAGUCAGGUCAAGAUGCAGAUUAUGAUUAAGUUAAAAUGUAUUACAAUAAAUUUAUUUUUGGAUUAAAUUUGAAAUGGGUUUAUGAAAUUGGAUUUAUAAGUAAAUUUUUUUUAAUUAUAAUUAAUUGAAUAAUGUUAAUAUAUAUGCACACAUCCC
rnacentral:rRNA from 1 species